rnacentral:rRNA from 1 species
AGUGAACGCUGGCGGUAGGCCUAACACAUGCAAGUCGAACGGCAGCACAGUAAGAGCUUGCUCUUACGGGUGGCGAGUGGCGGACGGGUGAGGAAUACAUCGGAAUCUACUUUUUCGUGGGGGAUAACGUAGGGAAACUUACGCUAAUACCGCAUACGACCUACGGGUGAAAGCAGGGGAUCUUCGGACCUUGCGCGACUGAAUGAGCCGAUGUCGGAUUAGCUAGUUGGCGGGGUAAAGGCCCACCAAGGCGACGAUCCGUAGCUGGUCUGAGAGGAUGAUCAGCCACACUGGAACUGAGACACGGUCCAGACUCCUACGGGAGGCAGCAGUGGGGAAUAUUGGACAAUGGGCGCAAGCCUGAUCCAGCCAUACCGCGUGGGUGAAGAAGGCCUUCGGGUUGUAAAGCCCUUUUGUUGGGAAAGAACAGCAGCAGGUUAAUACCCCGCUGUUCUGACGGUACCCAAAGAAUAAGCACCGGCUAACUUCGUG